GGUUGGAGCUUGACUCCACCUCUCCCAGAUCUCAUUUAAGGGCUGGCUACCACUAAGGCAGGAUUUCUUUCUCUGGAGAUCACUCUUUUGUGGAGUUUGUGGUAAACCUUCAACACUGUGGAACUUCCAGGUCACAUCCUGCACAAAUGGUUGAGCACCAGGUGAGAAGGCAUGGCUAACUGAGGGAGCUCAGAUGCAAGCAAUGUACCUGAGUGACCAGAAGGGCUGGAUUGAGGAUCCACUGAUCCACACCUCCUCAUCCUCAUUCAAGGGUUAGCAGCUGAGGGAUUAGCCUUUCUUUGGACUGAGAUUACACUUCUCUCAAGUUAUCACUGGUUAUUGGAAGGGUAAAGUAUAUAAUCCAAAGGGGCUGAGUUUUACCUCUGCCUAAAUUGACAAUGGUAUCUAGGAAGACUGAAAACAAAAGAUCUAGUGCCUGAUCCUGGAGCCUGGAUCCACCCCUCCUUACUCUUGUUUAAGGGUUGGAAGCAGAAGGAACGCCAUCUCUGAACAGAGAUCCCAGUUCUCUUAUUAAGCUGUCACUGGUUGUUGGAAGGGAAUCAUCACCUGAGGGAAUAUCUCAGGAAUGGAAUGACCACAUUUGGCAGCAAUAAUAAUAACCUGAAACAAUGCAUGUCAAAGACUCUGUACCCUGGCAGCAUGCAUGGGGUGAAGCAGCAUUAAUGACUGGGUGCUCCAGUGACUGCACAUAGUCAUGCAAAGGCAAGAGAUACUGUUAUGUGGAAUGAACACUUAUGAAGAGUGUUAUAUUGAGGAAAAGUUUCUAUAUGGGUAAGUUGAGUCUGGAAGUUUUUAACAAAUGUGUUUUCAGUG